rfam:Melipona quadrifasciata isolate 0111107301 unplaced genomic scaffold scaffold139, whole genome shotgun sequence.
CUAUAAUGAUGCUUUGCCAUGCUAAUACUGAGAAAUCAGUUUUCUGGAUCUCGAUGAGUUAAAUUCAUAGAUAUAACUGAAUUUU